ensembl:lncRNA
AGCUCGCAGCGCUGCACGAGGAGCGGCGCACAGCCGCGUGCCGACAUCGCAUCCCCGCGUGCAGCGCUGCGCGGUGCCUUCAAACGUACCGUGCAGAAAUAGAGGGACUCCCACCCGUUCCCCCCCCGCGCACAGCUCUGCAGUCGUGCAGGGAAAGCAAACUAUUUAACUGUUUCCAUGUGUUGCUCGUUACAGCGAGGUGAAAGGAUUCACGUGAGCGAAGCUGGCUUUAUUGUCCCCAUAAGGUGCUCCGUAAGCCACAGAGGGAACAAUUCCAGCAUCUGACCAGCCGAGGGGGUCAGCGCUCCAAUGAACGCAGCGCUGUGCUGCAAACCCGAGCUUACCCUGCAGCUGCUGAACGUGGAAAGCGAGACGCUCCAUUUCUCACGUCCGCGAGAGGUGCUUAAGGGACAGUUUGGCACGCGGGUACAGAUGGAAGCAAAUAAUCUCUGAUGUGAACAAAAACUACAACCAUCGAGGCAGGACCUUAACGCACAGCUGGGUGUUUUAUUUCCAAUUAACCAGAACUAACAAGCAGAUAGAAUUGGUCUCAUAGUGACACCAGAACAGAUCCAGGGAGUGUGUGAGAUACUGCCAUAAAGAGACCAGCCACCCGACAGCACACUGCUAAGACAGGACAAAGAACUGCUGAUUAUAUUACAUUUCAUUUGCUAAGUAAUUCCGAACAUGGCCUAGUGCUUCUAAAAAAACCUGUAUAAAAUGAGUAUUUUUUACAUCUCAGGCACAUGGAUACAAAUCUGAGCUAUUUUAUAUAUACAGACAUUUACAUUACAUGAAAAUCUGAGUGGAGAUCAAAUGAAAAAUAAAAGCUUUUAUAAAAAGUACCCCAAACAGCAGAGAUGAAAUGUGACAAUACAAUGCAUUCUCACAACAGAGGAGUAAAAGGCACAAAUACUAAAAUGUAUAACCAUGCAAAAAAUGUACGUCCGACCUGUGCAACAAAGCAAAACAAACGGCUCCCACAAGUGGUUUUACAGUAAUUCUCAGCACAUCACAGUAUUGAAACAUACUGUAAGUGCAACAUUUACUGCCCCGCAGCACAGUGAAGUGUUCAC